rnacentral:rRNA from 1 species
AGCGAACGCUGGCGGCAUGCCUAACACAUGCAAGUCGAACGAAGGCUUCGGCCUUAGUGGCGCACGGGUGCGUAACGCGUGGGAAUCUGCCCCUUGGUUCGGAAUAACAGUUAGAAAUGACUGCUAAUACCGGAUGAUGACGUAAGUCCAAAGAUUUAUCGCCGAGGGAUGAGCCCGCGUAGGAUUAGCUAGUUGGUGUGGUAAGAGCGCACCAAGGCGACGAUCCUUAGCUGGUCUGAGAGGAUGAUCAGCCACACUGGGACUGAGACACGGCCCAGACUCCUACGGGAGGCAGCAGUGGGGAAUAUUGGACAAUGGGCGAAAGCCUGAUCCAGCAAUGCCGCGUGAGUGAUGAAGGCCUUAGGGUUGUAAAGCUCUUUUACCCGGGAUGAUAAUGACAGUACCGGGAGAAUAAGCUCCGGCUAACUCCGUG